GGGGGGUGGGGUGGGCAGAGCUGCGCGGUGGCUUUGGGAAAACUAGCCCAGGAACGGGUGUCGCCGAAGGAGGAAACCGCAGCCCGGCCUGGCCCUCUGGAGCUCAGAGUGGCAGGGACGGACGGGACUGGAGGGAGAUCUCCUCGAGGAGGUGCCCGGGGUUGGGGGUGGUGGUGGUGGUGGGCGCACCGGAGUCUCCUCUGGAUCUGAGAAGGAGGCCCCUCCUUGACACUGGCGCAUAACCCUUUCGGGUUGGGUGUGUGCUUUCACACCAAGGAGAAGGCACUCCUUGAGGUGCAGGAGAGGACGUCGCCCUGGGGCUUUUGGGGGCUGUCUGUGUCACAGAUGUCACAUGUGGAAGCCACGCGGAUGGUCUGUCCCUGAGAUGAGUGAGAUACCAGCUGUCCAGGUUGCAUGUGUGCUGCUCGGAAACACAGGUGUGCACAGGUACAAGUGUACGUAUUCUACCACCACUUGGGCGAAAAAACACAGCAGCCGGAGGGAGGCACUUGUUCGGAUUUCUCUCACUGUGAGACAUUUAUGCUGAUGUGUCUGCAAAGGCUCAUGGGAGCUGAUUUCUACGCGGACGGAGAAGAGCAGGCCCGCGCAGUGCGCACAGAGGCUGGGGCUGGAAUGUGUCUCUCCCCAAGGAUGUCGGGCAGCUCACGGUACCGAAGUUAGGCAAGGAAACGCAGUCUGCGAAGCGGGGCGGCGAUCGGCGCCACGGCGGCCCCAGGCCCCUGCGGUAGGCUUGGGGCUGGCGGUGGAGGCGCCCAGGGAGAGGGUACAGUCUCCUCCUGGCCGCUGCCGCAGGGCUCCAGGUGGGUGAGGCGGUCGCCCCGGGAAGCGGUCCGGGCGCGCUUGGAUUUAUUUAUCAGUCCUCUGGGGCGGGCUGGAUAGGGCCUGGCUCACUGGCGAGGUCCAGGUCCCCACCGGCGGGGCAUUUUGUGCCGAGCUGCGUGGGCUGCGGGGGGUGGGGGCGCCCUCUUUCCCGAUGGCCUUGCAGCAAUGCCGGAGCCCCGCUCAGUGACCUCGGCCUUCGCGCACACCUCCAAGGGCUCACUAGCUCUCUGGCCUCGAUUUUCCGGAGCGUCCCGCGGAUGUAACCGUAGGGGUCACUGGCGGUUCCAGCGCGUUCUCCCAGUCCGGCACCGCUUGCGGAGCCGGCACCAGGGGCCCGCCGACCCAGCGCAUCCGGGGCCCCGGCAGCCGGAGCGAGCGGUUCAUUCGGCCCUGCUGCAGCGAGAACCUUCUCUUCCCGGGGUCAGGAAGCCCACAACAGCGGCGGAAGGUGGCUCGGCCCUGUCCAGGGAGCAGCGCGGCCGCCGCGAGGCAAGCAGCGCUCGUCGGCGUCGCUGGGCUCGCGCCGCUCCCCCACCCCCGGAGGACCCUGGCCCCGUGGUCCCCUUUUUUCUGGCCAAGGCCAUGAGAUAUCCACUGGCUUCCCGCUGCUGCGCAGGGAAGGGAAAACUGAGAGCCGGUCGCAACUGUCCUUGGGGCGCCGGCGUUUGCCGCGCGGGGCGGGAAGAGAGCCGCUUCUCUGUGCGUAAAGCCGCCCACGCCGGUGCACACCGCUCUGUCUGCACCGCCGCUGCGACGCGCACCUGCGGGCUCCCUGACCCUCAACUCAGGUCACUCUUCUCCAUUUCUCUGUCAAUCCGGAACCCCCUAGAGUUCUUUCGCCCACUACUAUUACUCACCUGUCACCCACACCACUUCAGAUUCUGCAUGUUUUGAUGGCAAACGUCAGACUGGUGCCUGCCCGCCCAGCCUCUUCACGCACUGGCUCACCUACCCGUUUCAUGACGCACUGUGACCUGUGGACUCCACUUGGGAGAGUCUGACUCCCAGAAGCUCAUACAUCCUCCCAGAGCCUUCACGUGUUUGGGGGCAUGGGCUGCUACCUGUAUGUUCCCAUGCCAGGGUUGCUGUCCGAAGUUCCCUCCAGAAACUCAGGUCCAGAACCCCGACCCUCCUCACCCCCCAAAUCCCUCUGCUGAGCUGGCUGGUCACAUGGGCAGGCACAGCCAUCCGGAACGUGCACAGCGUGUGCUGGUGCACACACCCACAGAGCACCAGGCUCCAGGCCAGAGGUUAUUUAGGCUGCCUGGUUGAGAUUAGAAGAGUCACUUACCCAAAUAUGUGCUUGAGACACACAGACACAUGCACACAAACACACACACACACAAAGUGGAAAGAAAAAAGAGAACCUACUCCCUACUUGGUCAGAAUGCACAGCCCAGAGCUGGAAGCGUUUUCUGGUUGGUUCAGUGUCUUCUUGAACCUCAUUGCCCCUGAGGGGGUUGGCCCAGGGCUCUGGGAUCCCCCUUAACUCACUGAUGUGAUUUCAGGGUACAAGCCCACCAGCAUCUAUUUGCCCCAGGAGUGUGUGCCUCAGCCUCUGUCAGCAGACUGGGCGGGGUGGGCCUUUCCCCUGGUGAGGGCAGCUCUGGGAGAAAAGGCAGAGGGGGCUGCUGGGAACUCCGUGUGGAAGAAGGGAGGCAGAAGGGCAGAGUUCCGUGACUUGUAACACUGUCUUCAGAUUUCCCUCAUGCCAAGGUGUGUGUGUGUGUGUGUGUGUGUGUGUGUGUUGGUAUAACUUGCAGAUAGUAAAAAGACACAUCUCCCGGGUGCAGCUUGAUGUAGUUUUACAUCAUAUAUAAACUCUGUAACUAGCACCUGAGUUAAAAUAUGGAACAUUCGCACCAGAAAGUUCUUACAUGUCUUCCUUGGCAGCAUCAGCCCCCAAAGGAGUCUUGAAUUCUGACUUCUAUAUUCUGAUUUCUGUCAGCAUAAAUCAGCUUUGUCUGCUCUAAGCAUCACAUAAAUGGGAUGUAGAGCAUGUACUCUGUUGUGUCUUGUCUCUUCUUCUUAAGAUUUAUUUGUUUAUUUGAAAGAUGGAGGGAGAUAGAGGGAGAGACAGAGAAAUCGUCCAAAUGCCUGCAUUAGCAGGGACUGGACCAGGUGGAAACCAGGAGCCUGGGACUCCGUCUAGGUCUCCCACAUGGAUGGCAGGGGCCCAAGUGCUUGAGCCAUUAUCUGCUGCCUUCCCAAGUGCAUUAGCAGGAAGCUGGAUUGGAUGCAGAGGAACUGGGACUCUAGCUGUCACUCUGAUGUGGGAUGUUGUCAUUCCAACAGUGGCUUAACCUGCUGCAACAAUGCCUGCCUAAUGUAUAGUUUUUCUGCACAAGCUGUUUUUAUUGUUCCUGGUCUUGUGUCAGGUAUCCAUUUCUCUUUAUUACUGUACAAUAUCCCAUAAAGUUGCUCAUCUAUCCAUCAA